rnacentral:rRNA from 1 species
GACUUUGUUGUGGGGUGAUGGCGUGCCUUUUGAAGAAUGAGCCUGCGAGUCAGGGACAUGUCGCGAGGUUAACCCGGGUGGGGUAGCCGUAGCGAAAGCGAGUCUGAAUAGGGCGUAUCCAAGUCAGAGGACUUGGUGUAGUGGUGUGUUCUGGACCCGAAGCGGAGUGAUCUACCCAUGGCCAGGGUGAAGCGCGGGUAAGACCGCGUGGAGGCCCGAACCCACUUAGGUUGAAGACUGAGGGGAUGAGUUGUG